GACGAACGCUGGCGGCGUGCUUAACACAUGCAAGUCGAACGGAAAGGCCCUGCUUGUGUGGGGUUCUCGAGUGGCGAACGGGUGCGUAACACGUGAGUAACCUGCCCUUGACUUUGGGAUAACUUCAGGAAACUGGGGCUACUACCGGAUAGGAGCUCCUGCUGCAUGGUGGGGGUUGGAAAGUUUCGGCGGUUGGGGAUGGACUCGCGGCUUAUCAGCUUGCUGGUGGGGUAGUGGCUUGCCAAGGCUUUGACGGGUAGCCGGCCUGAGAGGGUGACCGGCCACAUUGGGACUGAGAUACGGCCCAGACUCCUACGGGAGGCAGCAGUGGGGAAUAUUGCACAAUGGGCGGAAGCCUGAUGCAGCAACGCCGCGUGCGGGAUGACGGCCUUCGGGUUGUAAACCGCUUUCGCCUGUGACGAAGCGUGAGUGACGGUAAUGGGUAAAGAAGCACCGGCUAACUACGUG
rnacentral:rRNA from 1 species